GACGAACGCUGGCGGCGUGCUUAACACAUGCAAGUCGAACGGAAAGGCCCUGCUUGUGUGGGGUGCUCGAGUGGCGAACGGGUGAGUAACACGUGAGUAACCUGCUCUUGACUUUGGGAUAACUUCAGGAAACUGGGGCUAAUACCGGAUAGGAGCUCCUGCUGCAGGGUGGGGGUGGGAAAGUUUCGGCGGUUGGGGAUGGACUCGCGGCUUAUCAGCUUGUUGGUGGGGUAGUGGCUUACCAAGGCCUUGACGGGUAGCCGGCCUGAGAGGGUGACCGGCCACAUUGGGACUGAGAUACGGCCCAGACUCCUACGGGAGGCAGCAGUGGGGAAUAUUGCACAAUGGGCGGAAGCCUGAUGCAGCAACGCCGCGUGCGGGAUGACGGCCUUCGGGUUGUAAACCGCUUUCGCCUGUGACGAAGCGUGAGUGACGGUAAUGGGUAAAGAAGCACCGGCUAACUACGUG
rnacentral:rRNA from 1 species